rnacentral:rRNA from 1 species
GGUUGACCUCGGAUCAGGUAGGAAUACCCGCUGAACUUAAGCAUAUCAGGGCGGGGAGAGAGAGAAA